rfam:Xenopus tropicalis strain Nigerian Chr09_contig_116, whole genome shotgun sequence.
ACAAAGGCUCUUCUAAGGGCCACCCACUCCCUCCCUAAAAGAUCUGU